AGUGGACGUGGCCGAGGCCUACGGUUUCCGCGUGUGGGAGCUGCAAGGCUGAGAGGCCGCCCACGACCCUCGGGAAUUGUGUGAGGAACAGAAUUGCCAUUGGGCUCAGGGAGAGAUUACACUUCUUGUCUGCUUUGUUGCUAGUGUGGCCUUGUGGCCAAGCGCAGAACGUGUCCAGUGAUGAUGGUGCAACUUCUAGGUCGUCCCCAGCAUGGAAGAUGAGCCCUGGGCAUGGAAGAUGAGACCUGGUCCUGCAGCGGUGCUCUUUCCUCUUCUCACAAGCUGGAAUGUGAAUGUCCUCCCACCCAGCUUUGACCAUGGGGAGAAGAUAGUGCUCUGCAGUCUGGCAGAGCAACAAGGUGGAAAGGGCCUGGGUCCUUGAGUGACAUCAUGAGCCCUCUCACUGUCCUGGACCUUGGGACUGUUAUAUGAUAAGGACUUUCUGUGAGUCACUGUCUUUUAGAGUCUCUCUGUUUUAGCUGCCUGGACUUUAUCCUGAAUAAUAUGGCUGUUAUCAUGAGUAUAGUGUUAACUAUGAGCCUCAUCUAAGUAAUUUCUACUCUGCCUUUGACCACUAAACUCAUGUUGGACAAGA
rnacentral:lncRNA from 1 species